ACCUAGGAUAGCUCAGCUGGUAGAGCAUGGGACUCUUAAUUUCAGGGUUGUGGGUUUGAGUCCCACGUCGGGCA
rnacentral:tRNA from 1 species